rfam:Oryza punctata chromosome 3, whole genome shotgun sequence.
CUCAACUAGAAUUUUACGCUAUUUAUUUUCAAUGUUUAACUAUCCGUCUAUUUGAAAAUCUUUUAUGAUUAAUAUUUUUAUUAUUAUUAGAUGAUAAAAUAUUAAUAAUACUUUAUGUGUGACUAUUUUUUAAAUUUUUUAUAAAUUUUUCAAAUAAGAUGAAUGGUCAAAUGUUGGAUACGAAAAAUCACAACUGCACUUAAA